UACGGAGGAGGCAAGCGUUAUCCGGAAUUAUUGGGCGUAAAGCGUCCGCAGGCGGCUAUUCAAGUCUGCGGUCAAAGACUGGGGCUUAACCCUGGAAAGGCCGUGGAAACUGAAGAGCUAGAGUGCAGUAGGGGUAGAGGGAAUUCCCGGUGUAGCGGUGAAAUGCGUAGAGCUCGGGAAGAACAUCGGUGGCGAAAGCGCUCUGCUGGACUGCAACUGACACUCAGGGACGAAAGCUAGGGGAGCGAAUGGG
rnacentral:rRNA from 1 species